UACGUAGGGACCGAGCGUUGUCCGGAAUCAUUGGGCGUAAAGAGCGUGUAGGCGGCCUGUUAAGUCUUGCGUGAAAUCUCGGGGCUCAACCCCGAGCGGUCGUGAGAAACUGGCAGGCUUGAGUGCGGCAGAGGGGGGUGGAAUUCCACGUGUAGCAGUGAAAUGCGUAGAGAUGUGGAGGAACACCGAUGGCGAAGGCAGCCCCCUGGGUCGACACUGACGCUCAUGCACGAAAGCGUGGGGAGCAAACAGG
rnacentral:rRNA from 1 species